rnacentral:lncRNA from 1 species
AAGAAAACUAAAAGGAAGACAAGUGAGAAAACAUUUGUAUUUAUUAUUUAAAACAUAUAAAAGGAAGGGGAAUACAUCAAGUUAAUGAGCAUUUGGUUCACGUCUUUGGAAUGUAGCCAAUUGUGCCAAAGUUCCCCCUUCUAUAUAUAUAUAUAUAGUAUGAGAUGCUAAAAAGCAUCAAACAUCAGAUGAGGAAAAAGCAAAGAGGCAAAUAAGUGAAAAUGAGAUCAAGAUGUUGAUAUUGAAGAGGAGUUUGAGUACUCCCUCAGACAAGAAGGAGAUUUUGGAAAGAGCCUGUCACCUCAGUAUCUAGCAAGCCAAAGAGGCAAGGUCCUAGAACAACACCAGGCUCCUGUGUUGGCUGGGGAGCAAGCAAUAGAGCGACCAUAUUUGUCUGCAGUUCGUGUUCGCCCUGUUACAACAGAUCUUUUAGUUUUCGAAACACAAAUGGGUUAUAUAUUAGCAUAAAAAUUCUAUUUCAACACAAAAUGGAUUUUCAACAAAUAAUUGGCAUGCAGGCUUUCCAUCAAUCUAAAAAGUCAGUCACUUUAGCUUGUUAUAAAUUUUAUUAACACUCUAUAAAUGAUGCAUUAAGAUCACAACUUUUUCAUGCAUAAAAAAAUCAAAACCCAAAAUCAAGUAUGAUUGUCGUGAACCUCGUCUAAGCAAACCAGAGCAAAUUUCCAACCAACAUAUUUAAAUCAAAACUCAAUAUACAUCACUCUAACCAACUAAAAUGAUGCCCUAUAAUUUUCUGAUUUACUCCUUGCUCGUGCAAAUCUUUUCUCAACUUCAAGUAGUAUCUUAGAUACAAAUUAUGAGCAAAACCAUCAAACAAAUUCACCAAAUUUGUAGACUUGUAGGCCUUAUUUUGUUAAUUGUCUAAAGAGAAAAACUUGUUGAGCUUUUCAUGAGUAUAUUGCAAGAGAGGGUAGAGAUGUUGUUAGAAGCAAUCUGGUGAGAGAAAGAGGUAAACAACACGGUGCCGCUGGUACAAGGUACUUUAACCCCUCCAAAACCCGUCUAAUAUAUAGCUACUCAAAAGGAAAAAGAACUAAUACACUGCUCCUUCAAAUUUACUUUUGCCAAAAUAAAAAUAAAAUUGGCCCAAUUAUUUUCAAAUAUUUUAGAAACACCCCUAUUUUUCCUUCAACAUUCCCCCCUUGUUUCAAAUUAUUGUACAAUCAUCAUAUAGAAUUUUUGGUACCGAUAUAUAAGUUGUUGAGCUUUACAUCCUCAGACAACAAAUCUAUAUAUAUACAUAUAUGAUCCAUCCACUUUCACACCCUUUCCCACACUCAGUAAUUAUUGUGAUGUAGUACAUGCUCAUGAACAAGAUCAUGAACUUCAUCUAUAUGCUUUUAGAUUAGUG